GACAGAGGGUGCGAACGUUGCUCGGAAUGACUGGGCGUAAAGCGCGUGUAGGCGGUCUCGCCAGUCCGGUGUGAAAGCCCAGGGCUCAACCCUGGAACUGCGCUGGAUACUACGAGGCUAGAGUACUGGAGAGGAGAGCGGAAUUCUCGGUGUAGAGGUGAAAUUCGUAGAUAUCGGGAGGAACACCAGUGGCGAAGGCGGCUCUCUGGACAGUAACUGACGCUGAGACGCGAAAGCGUGGGUAGCAAACAGGAUUAGAAACCCGAGUAGUCC
rnacentral:rRNA from 1 species